AUUGAACGCUGGCGGCAGGCCUAACACAUGCAAGUCGAGCGGAUGAAGGGAGCUUGCUCCUGGAUUCAGCGGCGGACGGGUGAGUAAUGCCUAGGAAUCUGCCUGGUAGUGGGGGAUAACGUCCGGAAACGGGCGCUAAUACCGCAUACGUCCUGAGGGAGAAAGUGGGGGAUCUUCGGACCUCACGCUAUCAGAUGAGCCUAGGUCGGAUUAGCUAGUUGAUGGGGUAAAGGCCUACCAAGGCGACGAUCCGUAACUGGUCUGAGAGGAUGAUCAGUCACACUGGAACUGAGACACGGUCCAGACUCCUACGGGGGGCAGCAGUGGGGAAUAUUGGACAAUGGGCGAAAGCCUGAUCCAGCCAUGCCGCGUGUGUGAAGAAGGUCUUCGGAUUGUAAAGCACUUUAAGUUGGGAGGAAGGGCAGUAAGUUAAUACCUUGCUGUUUUGACGUUACCAACAGAAUAAGCACCGGCUAACUUCGUG
rnacentral:rRNA from 1 species